UGCUAGCAUAAACAUGUGGUUGUCACACACGUGCAGACACACACGCGCGCGUACAACAACCUGUCAGCCGUCGGGAGGAAAUAACGGUCGACGGAGACUUGGAGGUGCAGGGAAACAAUUCAUCCUUAAUACCGUGUUAUUCUCUCUCUCACACGCCAGCUGCAUUUCUGUAUUUAGGCAUUAUCAUUCUCACCUUUUCCUCAUAUUUCUUUCUCACGAGGGGUUUCUCCCUCCCUCCCUCCCUCUCACUUCCUCCCUCCCUCCUCAACUUAAUCUCUUUCUCCGUCUCUCCCCUUUUUUUUUUCUCCUCCUCAGUCUUUUCCCCCCUCAAGGUGUCUAAGCUGUGAGACAUUUAAUCGCCGCGGUAACGGUUUCAUAUCUGGAACAGAAAUCAAAUAAUGCCAGAUGAUUUACUCCCCCUAGCAACCAGGGAGCACAGCCCUAGCAACCGACCCAGCCAGCAGGCCAGACCUAAUCAGAAAGCGAACGGCAGAGUUGGCGAGGCAGAAGUGACAGAGGAGAGCCAAAGAGCGGCGACAGGAUCCAAACUCCAGGGUGCCAAAGGACCAAAUCGAGCUUUACUCCUCACUCUGUCGAACACAGUCGCGCUACGCCCGUCCGUGUGGGAGCUUUAGAGAAAGUGUAAGCUGGGACGAGACGAGUCUCCUUCAUUGGCGUUCGGCUGUUUGGACGGAGGCAGAGGGGAGAGUGCGACAGAGCAGACAGACACACGAACCAGGAGGAAAAAAAGAGAGACGGCUCGACAGGAGGAGAGAAUGAAGGCUGAAUGACAGAGAGAAAUGGAUGUAAAAAAAAUGGGUAUUUGAGAGAUUAUGAAUUUACAUAUCUUAAUAGAGAAAUGCAUGCUACGGCUCUCCACCUAAAAAAAAAGCUGCACGGCUCAUCUUCAGAAUUACAGAAUGUAUGCGCCGUUAUUGUGUGUGUCUGUGUGUGCGGUUUGUGUGAAUCAUAACAGACCUGUAUUUUAAGGGUCGCUCUCCUCUCAAGUUGUUAUCAAUGAUCAAAAUUGUUUGAGUGAUUUCAUACUAAAUGUCACAUUUAAAAACCAUUUUGAAGAGCUUUCCUCUCAAAGCCCACGGAGGCCUCAGUGGAGGUGGGAGACCAAUCCAGCGCCAGCUUGCUUUCACCAAACUGAAGAGUUAUGUUGUGAGAUUUUCACAAUUAACAUUUCGAAAUUUGACUUUUUUGUUGUUGUUCAUUUGAAAUGCUUUCCAAGAGAAUUGUGGGUAGCUGGUUCUGCUCCGACGCCCACGUCUCAAAGUGUGUCGAGGUUUGUUGUCGACCCAGUGAAUGACUGUUUACCCGGUUAAUGUUUGUUUACCUGGUGAAUGUUUGUUUACGUGGUGAAUGUUUGUUUACCUGGUAAAUGCCUGUUUACAUGGUGAAUGUUUUUUUACCUAGUGAAUGGCUGUUUACCUGGUGAAUGCCUGUUUACCUGGUGAAUGUUUGUUUACCUGGUAAAGUCCUGUUUACCUGGUGAAUGUUUGUUUACCUGGUGAAUGGCUAUUUACCUGGUAAAUGCAUGUUUACCUGGUGAAUGUUUAUUUACGUGGUGAAUGUUUGUUUACCUGAUAAAUGCCUGUUUACCUGGUGAAUGUUUGUUUACCUGGUGAAUGGCUGUUUACCUGGCGAAUGUUUGUUUACCUGGUGAAUGGGUGUUUACCUGAUGAAUGUUUGUUUACCUGGUAAAUGCCUGUUUACCUGA
ensembl:lncRNA